rnacentral:rRNA from 1 species
GACAGAGGGUGCAAACGUUGUUCGGAAUUACUGGGCGUAAAGCGCGUGUAGGCGGCUCGAUAAGUCGGAUGUGAAAGCCCUGGGCUCAACCUAGGAAGUGCAUUCGAAACUGCUGAGCUUGAGUUCUGGAGAGGAAGGCGGAAUUCUCGGUGUAGAGGUGAAAUUCGUAGAUAUCGAGAGGAACACCGGUGGCGAAGGCGGCGAUCUGGGAAGAUACUGACGCUGAGGUGCGAAAGCGUGGGGAGCAAACAGG